rnacentral:lncRNA from 1 species
CUGCGGGUGUGUACAAGGGUGAAGGGAGUCUUUAACAAAAGGCCUGCUACGCCAGGUAACGCCGCCAUGUUCGGUCUAGAUUCCUGGCCUAACAUUACCUAGGCAGAUAGAAAACAGACCCUCCCUCAGGAGAUAACUUCUCUCCCCUGUAGUUAAUAGAAUUUCUACUGGGAUUAGCUACAAAUGAUAUAUGGGACACUCCUUAGUUUUAUCUUCAUAUGAAGGCAGACUUUGUCUCAAGGAUGAAAUCGUACUUCAUUUUGGAGAUGCAAAACAAAUAUGAAGAUGAGAGGGAAGGAGCAUGGGUCACUUUUUGAAGCAGUGUGGGAAACCGGACAUCCUGG